GAAAUUCGAAAAUGCAAGAAAUCUACAUCCAUUCCGCGGAUAACUAUAUUCUAAUGUCCAAACAUGCCAACUCUGAUAAUUUUCUAGUACGGAUACCAUGGAAGAUCUGAGACCACACGGAGGAACCGACGAAAAUGGCGCCGAAACCCGAUCCCAAAACCCUAGCCGCCGCAUCCGCCAUAUCGGAUCAGUCUUCGAUCGAUCCGAUCUUCCACCUUCUCCUAAUUCUCCCGUUCUCCUUUCUCCGGCCGCCGCGUCUACGCCUCAAGCUCCCCUCCUUCACCCUCCCGUCGUCGAUGACGGUCUAUUCACUAAUCCUCCUCACCUACUUCUUGGUCGUCUCCGGCUUCGUCUACGACGUGAUCGUCGAGCCUCCAGGUAUCGGGUCGAUUCAGGAUCCAGUGACCGGGGCCGUACGACCGGUCGUGUUCAUGUCGGGUCGGGUCAACGGGCAGUACAUCAUCGAGGGCCUGUCUUCGGGGUUCAUGUUCGUGCUCGGAGGGAUCGGGAUCGUGAUGUUGGAUCUGGCGCUCGACAAGAACCGAGCCAAGAGCGUGAAGGUGUCUUACGCAACAGCUGGGAUCUCCUCUGUUGCGCUCGCUUAUAUCAUGAGUAUGCUCUUCAUUCGCAUCAAGACCAAAGUUGAGAUCUGAAGUGAUGUUUUGAGCUGAGGCUGAGGAACUAAGACACAGGAAAUCGAGUUCCUUUGAUUGUUGUCAUGUCUCAGAGGCAACUGAAACCCAAAUCCGGGUUCGAAUCAGAACCUGUAAAAACAAAAGGCACACUACAUUAUCGGACAAGGUUACCUGUCCGACGAGGAGGAGAGAGAACCGUGGACGAAGACGAUGAUGAUGCUCCGACUUGUCCUCAAGGGAGUUUUGUCACCGAACUAAACCGCGAGACUAUUCGAGAAAUAUGGCAGUAGUUCGAGGUGCUUUCACGGAAUUAACCAUUUGAAUCCACGUGUCAGAAGGAGAGAGACAAACCAAAUGAACUCACCACGUGGCCUUUUCCAUCGCGCCACGUGUCAUUCUGUAAGCCGAAUCUCUCUUCUCUGCGUCGUUUAUAAGAAAAAAUGUGCCCUUUUUCUUGGCAAAGGAGAGAGAGAUGG